UACGUAGCUCAGUUGGUUAGAGCACAUCACUCAUAAUGAUGGGGUCACAGGUUCGAAUCCCGUCGUAGCCA
rnacentral:tRNA from 2 species